rnacentral:rRNA from 1 species
UGCUUGAAGAUGGGGGGACCAUCCUCCAAGGCUAAAUACUAACUACUGACCGAUAGUGAACCAGUACCGUGAGGGAAAGGUGAAAAGAACCCCGAUUAGGGGAGUGAAAUAGAAUCUGAAAUCGUAUGCAUACAAGCAGUAGGAGCUAGAUUUAGUCUAGUGACUGCGUACCUUUUGUAUAAUGGGUCAGCGACUUAAUGUUAGUAGCGAGGUUAAUCGAAUAGAGGAGCCGUAGGGAAACCGAGUCUUAAUAGGGCG